AAACCCGAACGGCGAUUGAUAACAGCCGCAUUCUUGUGUUCCGCUGAUUUCUAGUUUUCGAAUUUCUCCCGAUUCGUACCACCCACCCAACAUCCUACUGGGGUGCUGGUGAUGAACGGAAAAAGUGCAGUGUUUUAUGGAAUAAAAACCAGACAAACGAUCGUGUGCAAAGUACGAUCUUUACAAGUUGAUUAAGAUCGAGCCCUGAGGAAGAUCCAACCCAAGGAUCGAAACGUUGGCAAUGAUAUAAAAUUAUCAACGCUUUUUCCCGUGACUGAAAGCCGAAAAACUCCGUAGCU